AUUUUUAUUGAAGGUAGCAAGGAUAGAAAUCUGUUCAAACAAAAGAAAAGAGGAAACGACCGAAUGGAACGCGCUACACGCGCUCAGAGUCGAGUAACUAUGUGAAAUUGGGGCUUAGGGUUUUUGAUCGAAAUCUUCUUGAUCUCGUGGGUAGUUAGGUGGUGAUCCUUCUGGUCUCAUCCUCUCUCUCAUUGGAACCUGUUUUGUUCCUUCGCUCGUCAUGAUUUAAAGCUCGAUCAAAUCGUUUCUGUAUUAGGAUUGCUAUAUUAGUCUUUGACACACUCUCGCUCUGCAGGCUGCAAACCUCUGACGCCGACUCUAAGAUCUGUCUGCCGCCGCAGCCGCAAAUGGGUAUUCUCUUCUCUCACUUCUCCACCUCAAAGACCGGUAGUAGUUCUUGGAAGUCGACAACCCUCUUCUGUUCUUGAACCCGAUCCAGUUUUACUUCAAACACCGGUUCUUGGGUCUUCUUCUGUUCUUGAAUUUGAUCUUGAAAGACUGGUUCCUUGGGCUUCGACUUCGGCCUCGGUGUCUCUGAAAUUAUUUGAUGUCUUCAAGUAGAAAUCAAUCUUUAGUUAAUUGCUUGAUAUCUUCACUGUCUAUUUUUCAUUGCUACUUAGGAUUAUUUAUAUCUUAUUGGCUUAUCCUUGAAUAAGUCUUUUGCUUAGCUUCACACUGUAUGUGAAAACUUUGCAUCGUUAAGCUCUCAGCUUUGAAUAAAAGUUUGUCAUGUUUAUGAAUAAAAUGCAGAGAUCUGUUUCUAACAAUGUUGUUGGUAGCUUUUCAAUUCUCUUGUGCCUUUGUUAGUGCUGUGAUUAUCCAUUGUGCUAUCUGAAUUGUUUAUGUGCUUUUGCUCAUUGAUUUCUCUAAAUGAAGCUUUGUAUGUCCACUGAUAGCAAUACUUUGAUGCAUCAGUUUAUUUGGUUUGAGACUUUUAAUUGGUGAUUUUCCUAUGACUACUAUCAAGUAACACAUGAUAAUAUUACUGAAGAUUCUGAUAUGUUAAAGUAGGAUAUAAUGGUUUGAAUUACAUGAGUUAAUUUGAAAUGAUUGAUUGUGUCAGGGGUUAGUACUUUGUAGUAUCUAUUAUUUGUUCGUUGGCAUAUGAAGAAGUAUGAGAAGGGGGAGGAAUAGGAAGACACCAGUUGUUCUGUUUCUGUAUCAUAUGCAUAUAUCCCUAUUCUAGUUCUUGUUGGUUUAAUUUCACCUUCCAAGUUCCAGCUGUUGCACCUUAUUAAGCAGAGUAAAUGGAGAACUUAUUUUGUGUUACUUACUGACAUUUUUUUAAUGCUCAUAUGCGUAGAAACUUAAGGUACAUAUACAUUUUGUCUGGUAAGCAUAUAAUAACAUAGUUGAAUGGUAUCACACCAAGGCUUUCACCUCCGCAAUAAAGUUUAAUAGCAAAUAUUAAUGAUUGACAUUUGCUUCUUCAUGAAGUUGAUAAAGGAAACUGGUUACCUUGUCCCAGGAAUGCUUGGCAUCAGCUUGGCAACAUGAGUGCAGAGGUAGCAAUGGAGCAGUACAUCACUCUUCUUUCAGAAAGUGUUCCUUGGUGGAUGCAAGAUGUUCAUGGUGACUUUGCAGAUCCCCAAGUACAUGAGACGGUAACUACUUAUCUGGACACAUUGAUUCAAAACCAAUCAAACGCUGCAGGUGUAAGAAGAGUAGAAGAACUAAAGCCUAAUGUUAAAGGUUUAGAUGAGAUUGGGGUGGGGGUCGUAACUUCAACUUAACCUAUGGAAUACCUUGAGAAGGUUGGAACCUCAAAACAAUGAACCCUAGUCUCUUAUCGGAGAUUUCAAUAAUAUUUGCUAACUGAGGAGAAAAUUGGGGGAUUAACAGACUCUGCGAGUUGUCUUUCUUUAAUAAGGUUAGAGUAUCUGGUAUCCCAGAUUAUCUCCAAUUUCUUGGCUGUGAUUGCAGACAUCUUGGAGAUGACAUAGUUCAUAAGAGUUCUGCAGCAGGAAUUAAAUGCCGUUGAGAAGGACAAGGAUGCGUUCAUUGAGGACUUUUCUAAGGAGGACUAGAAUGACAUGGUGGAUGGAAGGUAAAAGCUGGAUAGGACUAACUCUAGAGAGCAGAAGGGGGCCUCUUCAUUGCCAAGAAUAAAUGAUUGUGACACCUCAAGUUUUGCGAGUGCAAUAUUGUACUCGAGUUGGAUAUUCAUUUCAGAUAAACAUUGUAUUCAGUUGCUGGUGUGUUGUGCUGUAGACGGUCUUAUCUUAAACUAUGUCGUUGUCCUAUUAGUGUUUGAACGUUUGUUGUCUAUAAUAAAGGAAUCGGGGUUUGUCUUUGCUCAUGUGUA